AAAUUGAAGAGUUUGAUCAUGGCUCAGAUUGAACGCUGGCGGCAGGCCUAACACAUGCAAGUCGAGCGGAAACGAGUUAUCUGAACCUUCGGGGGGACGAUAACGGCGUCGAGCGGCGGACGGGUGAGUAAUGCCUAGGAAAUUGCCCUGAUGUGGGGGAUAACCAUUGGAAACGAUGGCUAAUACCGCAUGAUGCCUACGGGCCAAAGAGGGGGGACCUUCGGGCCUCUCGCGUCAGGAUAUGCCUAGGUGGGAUUAGCUAGUUGGUGAGGUAAGGGCUCACCAAGGCGACGAUCCCUAGCUGGUCUGAGAGGAUGAUCAGCCACACUGGAACUGAG
rnacentral:rRNA from 1 species